rnacentral:rRNA from 1 species
CCUUCGGGCGCCGACGAGUGGCGGACGGGUGAGUAACGCGUAGGAAUCUGCCUUAUAGUGGGGGACAACGUGGGGAAACCCACGCUAAUACCGCAUACGCCCUACGGGGGAAAGCGGGGGAUCGUAAGACCUCGCGCUAUGAGAUGAGCCUGCGUUAGAUUAGCUAGUUGGUAGGGUAAAAGCCUACCAAGGCGACGAUCUAUAGCUGGUCUGAGAGGACGAUCAGCCACACUGGGACUGAGACACGGCCCAGACUCCUACGGGAGGCAGCAGUGGGGAAUAUUGGACAAUGGGCGCAAGCCUGAUCCAGCAAUACCGCGUGUGUGAAGAAGGCCCUAGGGUUGUAAAGCACUUUCAAUGGGGAGGAAAACCUGCCGGUCAAUACCCGGUAGCUUGACAUUACCUAUAGAAGAAGCACCGGCUAACUCCGUGCCAGCAGCCGCGGUAAUACGGAGGGUGCGAGCGUUAAUCGGAAUUACUGGGCGUAAAGCGUGCGUAGGUGGCUCGUUAAGUCAGAUGUGAAAGCCCUGGGCUCAACCUGGGAACUGCAUUUGAAACUGGCGAGCUAGAGUUGAGUGGAGGGGAGUGGAAUUUCAGGUGUAGCGGUGAAAUGCGUAGAGAUCUGAAGGAACACCAGUGGCGAAGGCGCCUCUCUGGACUCAAACUGACGCUGAGGUACGAAAGCGUGGGUAGCAAACAGGAUUAGAUACCCUGGUAGUCCACGCCGUAAACGAUGUCAACUAGCCGUUGGUCUUAUUCGUAAGAUUAGUGGCGUAGCUAACGCGAUAAGUUGACCGCCUGGGGAGUACGGCCGCAAGGUUAAAACUCAAAUGAAUUGACGGGGGCCCGCACAAGCGGUGAAGCAUGUGGUUUAAUUCGAUGCAACGCGGAGAACCUUACUUACUCCUUGACAUCCAGAGAAUC